GGACAUUUAUUGAGGUUCCGCUCUAUACCCUUUGUGAACAUACCUAACUGUUGCUUCGGCGGGCAGGGGGUGCCGCCUGCGGACCCCCCUCCCGGCCCUGCCCUCACGGGCGGAGCGCCCGCCGGAGGAUACCAAACUCUAUUUUAACGACGUUUCUUCUGAGUGGCACAAGCAAAUAAUUAAAACUUUCAACAACGGAUCUCUUGGUUCUGGCAUCGAUGAAGAACGCAGCGAAAUGCGAUAAGUAAUGUGAAUUGCAGAAUUCAGUGAAUCAUCGAAUCUUUGAACGCACAUUGCGCCCGCCAGCAUUCUGGCGGGCAUGCCUGUUCGAGCGUCAUUUCAACCCUCAAGCUCUGCUUGGUGUUGGGGCCCUACGGUUGACGUAGGCCCUUAAAGGUAGUGGCGGACCCUCUCGGAGCCUCCUUUGCGUAGUAACUAACGUCUCGCACUGGGAUUCGGAGGGACUCUUGCCGUAAAACCCCCAAAUUUUUAAAGGUUGACCUCGGAUCAGGUAGGAAUACCCGCUGAACUUAAGCAUAUCAAUAAGCGGAGGAA
rnacentral:rRNA from 1 species